UAUAUGAGUCCGGCUAUGGUGCUUGUAAAAGCACCAAGUACUUGGUGCUUGUAAGUUUUUUUACCAUUAGAUCUACUCCUCGGAUCAUUUUCAACCAUUAGAUUAUACUAUUCAACCAACCACCCGCUCAACCCUAGGGAGCCCACAUCAUCCUAACCGUAUAUCUCUUAAUCCAAUGGCUAAAAAUCUACAAGCAACAAUAACUUGGUACUUUUAAAAGCAUAGGAGCUCAAUUCUAUAUAUAUAUAUAUAGAGAGAGAGAGAGAGAGAGAGUCUGGCUGGUAUACUAUCGGUAGUACGGAGGCCUCCGUGCUACCAAGUUGUUUUCGAUGAUGCGGUUUCUAAAUCGACGAUCAGUUUCGUUAGACUUGAUCUACACUAUUAAACGUAUUUAGAAACUAAAUUUCAUAAAUUUUCGGUAUCAUUUACCUAUCAAACGAGUAGUUUAAAAAUGAACGGUUGAAAAUAAAAAUCUCAUAAAAAAUGAUGAUAGAAGACUUGAAUUUAAGAUCAGAUGUACUGAUCUUACUCUAAAUAGUAAAAAGAAUUUUUUAUAAAAAUUUCAUCUGAUUUGGAUUGUUUUACACCGUUAAAUUUACAAACGCAUCACAUCUACUAUUAAAAUUAUCAAUUUUGAGACAUUUUGAUCACUAGCCAAAUGAUGUCGAAAAAUUAUGAAAUUUAAUUUCCAAAUACUUUUAAUAGUGUAUAUCAA
rnacentral:lncRNA from 1 species